AAAGAUACCUUGAAAAACUGACAGAACUCUUCCAGCAGUGGCACCCUUUUGUUGGUCAGCUCUGCAUAUCCUGCCUCAUAAUUGGCUUUGAAGGCUUGCUUUCCAGCCAUACCCCACAAAUUGUGGGAGGAAGGAGGUCUCCUUUGUGUGUGAAAAGGGAUGACUACAGGGUGAGAUUUUUUCACAUCUGAACAUGGACAGAAUCAAGUCUACCUGAACUCCUCGGAUGCAGGAAGCCAGACCUGGCUUGACAAGUGUCAAGAAUAUUCUUCAAUCUUUCCCUGAGCUCAUGAAGCAGCCUUUUGAGAUGUUCUGGCCAUCCUCUUAGAAGAGCGGCAAGAAGAUGGACUGUUGGCCAUGUUUGGCACAAAACCAGGU